AGCUUUGCCCAAGUAUCAUAGCCAAUGAGGUAUAUCUAAGGCACAAUUAUUGCUAAUUGAAAACUUUUCCCCAUUUUUCAUACACAAAACUAUGCUAAACCAAUCAUUGGGCUAAUUUAGUUAUC
rfam:Heterocephalus glaber contig37356, whole genome shotgun sequence.